GCCAGGCCCCGCCCAUGCGCCGUAGGGGCCGCUGGGGGUUCCGCGGCAACCUUGACCUUGUGAAGGUCACGCCGCUGCCAGUACCCGAGCGGGCGGGAGGGCGGCUGCGGAGUCAGAAGCCCACCCUGAUGCCCCGUUCGCUCCGAGUGCGCCGUCCGCUUUCUCCCGGAGGCCGCGGCGACCCCGCCGGGAUGUGCGACAUGUGGUGCCCCGACCCCCGAUCCUUGACCCUUGACCUCCAGGCAGCUCCGACCCUUUCAACACUCUCCGGGGUCGUGCGUCGGGAGACCCCGGCCCCUGCCCGCGUGCACCCGGGGAGCCCCGCGCGAAGCCUGCGGCGGCUUCCACGUGGGCGCGGCUCAGUCCCGCUACCGAUCCGUGACUCCGCGCCGCCCUCCGCGCCCGGCCUAGCCUCAGUGAGGCCGAGCUGGACGGGGCCCUGGUGCUGGUUUUCAGUGCCUCAGCGAGGCCGGGACCAGAGCUGCUAUUUCCAGAUGAGGCUGGCUCGCAUCUGCUCUGGCCGGGGCUCCAGAGUGCUGCACGUGGGACUUAGCCUUGGACACUAACUCCUUUGCCCCUCGUAUCUGGGAGGGAACAACACAGUCGCUAUGCCUGACUAGGGCAUGACCUGGGAGGCCUUUGGGGCCACACAGCCUCCCUGGGAAAGGAGGAUCAGGACCGAGAAGAAAGGAAUGAGCCCCGAUCCGCCUGCCAGGUACCCAUCCAUGAGAACCCCUUCUCUGCCAGCAUCUGAUAAAAUUACCUGCGUGGCUUUAGAGAUCACUGCUGCCUGACCAGCAGCCGCUCUCCUGGAAUCUGUGUCCAGAAAGCCCCUUGGGGCUCAGAAAAGUAGUAGAGAUGGGGUUCCAUCCAUCCAUUCCAGAAGCAUUUGCCAAGCACAUCCUGGGUGCCAGGCCCAAGCAGGCUGGUCUCGAACUCCUGACCUCAAGUGGUCCGCCCACCUCGGCCUCCCAAAGUGCCGGGAUGACAGCUGUGAGCCACUGCGCCCCACCCAGAAGCAGAGGUGUUUUAACGGGAAGACUUCAGGCUUCAUCGGACUGCCGGGAAGGAAUCAGAGCCGGG